UACGAAGGGGGCUAGCGUUGCUCGGAAUCACUGGGCGUAAAGCGCACGUAGGCGGAUUGCUAAGUCAGGGGUGAAAUCCUGGAGCUCAACUCCAGAACUGCCUUUGAUACUGGCAAUCUCGAGUCCGGGAGAGGUGAGUGGAACUGCGAGUGUAGAGGUGAAAUUCGUAGAUAUCGUAAGGAAGACCAGUGGCGAAGGCGGGUCUCUGGACAGUUCCUGACGCUGAGGCACGAAGGCCAGGGGAGCAAACGGG
rnacentral:rRNA from 1 species